rnacentral:lncRNA from 1 species
CCUUACUGUAUUUUGGAUGAUUCAAGAAAUAGAAAGGUGUCCUACUGACUUCUGAAACAGGGUGUCUUCAUAUUGAUUAGGGUCACCGUAAGCCUGGGAGCUGAUGCUUACUCUCAGGUAAAGGAUGCUGUGUGAGGCUGCUUGAUGAAUGAGAAUACUAACAUUCUUCUGCAUUGAAAAAAUAUAACCUAUAAGAUGAACAUUGUAGGCCGGGCGCAGUGGCUCACGCCUGUAAUCCCAACACUUUGGGAGUCUGAGGCGGAUGGAUCACCUGAGGCCAGGAGUUUGAGACCAGCCUGGCCAACGUAGUGAAACCUCAUCUCUAUUAAAAGUACAAAAAAUUAGCCUGGUGUGGUGGUGCACACUUGUAAUCCCAGCUACUCAGGAGCCUGAGGCAGGAGAAUCAUUUGAACCUGGGAGGCAGAGGUUGCAGUGAGCCGAGAUUGCACCACUGAACUCCAGCCUGGGCAACAGAGCCAGACUCUGUCUCCAAAAAAAAAAAAACAUGAACAUGGUAUGCUUUGUUAACUUCAUUGUACAUUCUCCUCCAAGUAGGAAAGUUUCUAUGAGGAAAUAAAUUUAAAUCAAAAAGUGGCUUGGCAAAUGUAGAGUAAAUGAUCACAAGGGAUGAUGUCAUCAAGCUAAACUAAUCUGAAGCACCCUUUACUAUAAGGACAUACUUAGAAGCAGACUGAAAUAGCACCAUUAGCCAGUCAUGGCACCUUUUCCCCUUUCAUCACCCUUUCAUCACCCUUUCAUCAGAAACACAACUGGCAAGAUUUUUGUUAAUUCUCUAACUGUCCUAUUUCAUUUUUAAAAAAUUAGCUGCUAAAAAUGUUAUAUCAUUAUAACACUUCCUUAUAACAUUAAAAGUUUUAAAGGCUUUUAUCCUCACAUUGGUUCCAUUUUGAAUUCUAGCCUUAUUUGUCAGUAUCAGUCUGUAGUUCAGAUCUUCCAUGAUUAUUUCUCCACAGGAUGACUGGUCUCAUCCAUUUAAUAUUGAUUCUUCUUAGCGUUCUACUCAUUUGACAUUUUCUGACCUUGCCUUAAAAUUCUGGAUAUAUCCUGUUUUACUUCCUUAGGCCAUUCUAAAGUCCUACAGUAUCCAGAUGAGAAACGAGAGAAAGCAUAAGCUUUGGAGUCCAAAGAUCAGGAUUUUAGCGUCAGCACUCCACACCUUAGCUAUACAAUCUCAAAGCAGCCUGCACCUGUGGCCUCAUGGCGCAUUCUCUACAAUCAGUUGACAGAGGAAGAGAAGACUCAGGCCUGGUUUACAGAUGAUUUUGCAUUCUACGCAGGUACGACUCAAAAGUGUACUUCUGCCACAUUACAGUCCCUUUCUGAGACAUCCCUGAAAUACUGUAGGAAGGGAAAUCUUCCCAGGUGGCAGAACUUUGAGCAGUGCACUUGGUUGUUCACUUUGCUUGUAAGGAGAGAUGGCCAGAUGUGCAAUUAUGUAUCAAUUCUUGAGCUGUGGCCAGUGAUUUGGCUGGGUGGUCAGGGACUUGGAAAGAACAUGAUUUAAAAAUUGGUGACAAGGAAAUUUGGGGAAGAGAUAUGUGGGUGGACAUCCCUGAGCAAAAAACUUCUGAAGUUAUUUGUGUCCCAUGUGAAUGCUCACCAAACCAAAAGGUGAUGUCAGCAGAGGAGGAUUUUAAUAAUCAAGUGGAUAGAAUAACCCAUGUGUGGAUACCAGCGGUAUUAGUCCAUUCUCUCACUACUGUGAAGAAAUAUGCAAGACUAGGUAAUUUAUAAAGAAAAGAGGUUUAAUUGACUCACAGUUCCACAUGGCUGGGGAGGCCUCAGGAGACUUGCAGUCGUGGCAGAAGGCACCUCUUCACAGGGCAGCAGGAGAAUGAGGGCUAAGCAAAGGGGGAAGCCCUUUAUAAAACCAUCGGAUCUCAUGAGAACUUACUCAAUAUCACGAGAACAGCAUGGAGGAAACAGUCCCCAUGUUUCAAUUACCUCCUACUGGGUCCCUCCCAUGCCAUGUGGGGAUUAUGGGGAUUAUAGUUCAAAAUGAGAUUUGGGUGGGGAUACAGCCAAACCAUAUCACCAGUGAAACUCUUUCCCCAACAACCCCAUUAUUGUCCAAUGGGCUCAUAAACAAACUGGCCAUGGUGACAGGGAUGGAGGUUGUGCAUGGGCUCAGCAACAUGGACUUCCAUUUACCAAGGCCAACCUGGCUGUAGCCACUGCCGAGUGUACAUUCUGCCAGCAGCAGAGACCAACACUGAACACGCCAUAUAUGGUCCUAUUCACUGGGGUAAUCAGCCAGCUACCUGAUAGCAGGUUACCAUUGGACAUAUGGAAGAGGCAGCAUUUGGUUCUUACAGGAACAGACAUUUAUUCUAGAUAUAGAUUUGCCCUCCCUGAAUGCAGUGCU